rnacentral:rRNA from 1 species
AGCGUAGGCGGACAUUUAAGUCAGGGGUGAAAUCCCAGAGCUCAACUCUGGAACUGCCUUUGAUACUGGGUAUCUUGAGUAUGGAAGAGGUAAGUGGAAUUCCGAGUGUAGAGGUGAAAUUCGUAGAUAUUCGGAGGAACACCAGUGGCGAAGGCGGCUUACUGGUCCAUUACUGACGCUGAGGUGCGAAAGCGUGGGGAGCAAACA